rnacentral:lncRNA from 1 species
UUUACUUCCUAGUUUCCUUGAAGACUGAAGGAAUGAUCUGGGUUUCCUAAGGUAGUGGCUGACAUUUGAUAGUAGCCUGCAUCUGGGUAGCACUUUAUCCCCUCAGAGUGGAAGCCCUCAGGGGCUCACUAUAACCCUGGAGGGAGGAAGUCACUCUGCCAUCUGCCAUUUUCUCUCAAUUGCAGGUCCCCAUCCUGUUCUAAGGCUCUCUGGGAGCACUGAUUGCCAUCAGUUCCGCAUGUGCCCUGAACGUUUCCAGGAGACCAGCAACUCAGACCUUUCAAGUUUAAGAUCAAGAUGUUCCCAAAAUAAAUACCAGUCCCUGAGUGCCGAGUACUAAGAUUUCACCCGUCAUCUGUUUCAAAACACUUAAUUUCAGGGGAUUAACUUAGUGGGGUUUUUAAAAUUACAAUAAAAGUCCUAGCUGUCUCUAUUAAGGUUAUGUAGUUUUCAUAUGAGCAACUUGGAGGAGUAAAACCAUGCUUAGAAACAUUGGCUUUCAAAAAGAUCAGUUACACGAAAAUAACAUUAUAUGGCAAUCUAUCAGACCCUUGGCACCUGUGUUUUUCCUUGAAUCAUAAGCAUUUUUAAAAUUUAAAAUGCUGAUUUAUUCAACAAGCUCUUAGUUUAAAACAACAGCCUAUAAUUUCCAAGAAAGCGGGUUGGUUGACUAAUCUGGACCAUUGGAAGUUGUGAGGUUUUUCAUUCUGUUCCCCAAAGAGAUAUGCACAAAUCCAAAAAGGUACACUAAGCAGAGAAUGGCAGUAGGAUUUCAUGACGGAGGAGUAGAAGGGCACCCACACACCACCCAAGAAUUCAUUUGGUUAAUUUAAUCUCCACUUGACUAAACAUCAGCAGAACAGAUUGCAUCAAGAUUACUUGAUGACGGUGGAAUCGUUACCUACUUGUGGCUCACUGAGGCAAUCCACAAUGGCCAAGAGAAGUGAAGGCCCAAAACAAUGAUCUGCCUCCAAGAAUAGAAGGAGAUUUUCCUUCAGUUGUCUUGAUAGAUUGUCUACAUGCAUCAAAUUUACUACACAGUUUCCCAAUACACUGCAGUAGGAAAGGCUGCAACCGUCCUGGCUUCAGAAGCUACAGGAACUCAGAGGGGAGGUCAGUGCCCACGUUCUCCCUCCUUUCUGAUCUCUUCCACUGAGGCCUGUUAGUUUGGUUUGAAAGCUAGUGGUUUUGUUUGCAUUUAUUCUAGCUCAUUGCUCUCCCCCCACAACCUAGAAUAGAACAUGGCACAUAGCAGCAGCUCAAUAAAUAUUUAAUGAAGGGAUGUAUUUUCAAACUAAAACCAUGAUGCGUGCAAAGCCAACCUGCAGCCUACUUGGAGGGGGCCCAGCUCUGCCUUAGAAGCUGCUGUUAGGAUGUAAAAUGUGACUCCACGCCUGCCACCAAACCACAAAGAGCCAUACAUGUCCUCCAGAGUGCCAUUUGGGUCUGGGAAGAAAUCCUGUUAAAGUCUGAAUGUCUGCGAAAAUCAGCCCUGAAGACCGGCUGGAGGAAUUCUGCCUCAGUCUACAACGCAACUCGUGCAUCUUGGAUUUCUCAUUUGCACUCUGAAUGGAAUUCAAGCAGGAUGCGAUCCAGCUCCUGACAGCCGCCGUGGCAGGGUCUCCUCUGCUCUUGCCUAGGUUUGCGUUUAGGGGAGUUAGAACCCAGAUUUAGUGCAGGUAUUGGUGGCUUGUUCUGAUUAAUCCUGAUUCUCAGAAUUUCUACACAUGUUGCUCCUGUUUCAUAAAAAAGCUGUUAGUUUUAUCCUCUUUUCAUUGGCUUAUUUAUUUAUUUACUUCCUAUGUAGGUUCCUGGCCCCAGAAGUAAAGGACUCCCAAGGGUUAUUUUAGAAACUUCUUAUUGUGUUUUAUCUCCUGACCCAAGUGCUUACUUUUUAAGCUCAAAUGGAGUAACGUUUAAAUUGUGAAAGUUAAAUAAACAGAAAAUAUAUCCAGAACAGUAUUAGCAAAUGGGUUUUAAUAAAUGACCAUUCACUGUUCCUUCCACUGGUACUAGAAGGAGUAAAGGUGAUAAUGAGGGAAUCCAGGGUAGACCAGAAAUCCCAGAUAAGAUUCAGAAUAGGAGAGGCGUGACUCUUGACCAUCAGGCUCUCAGGAGAUCUUGUUUAUGGAGGGCGAGGGGGCUGUGGUGGAAUCCUCACUUGUGGCCCAGAACUUAACCUUCUAGAACGGAGGUAACUAAAUGUGACCAAAUACACUGUGAGGCACAGGUUAUCUGAAAUCUGAUAGCUGCGCCCCAAUUAGACAGGAAGCAACGUACAACUGGGGAAGAUGAAGCUGAUAGCUGCAACCCAGUCCUUGUUCAGAAUCACAUGCUAACUCCAUGGCCCCAGUUAAGCAGAGGCAUGAGUUGUCCCAGAAUCAAAGACACAAUCCAUCCAGAGUACUAGGCUUGAAACCCACCAUGCCCAAGAAACUGGGACCUCUCCUUAGCCACAAUCUACCAGGUGCAAGCUGCAGAAAACAUGGAUAUUUUUUCUAUACAUUGCUUUAUAAUUUCUCCUGGCUUUCUAUGUCAUUUCUACAUAUUUCUUCAUAUCACUUGGCAUCUUUUGGCCUGCCAACUUCUAUAUAAGCCUAGAUAAUAAAUCCAAUGGAAAACUAGAUUUGCAUAGUUAAUUUCCAAAAAAGGUUGGUGGCCCAUGAUAUGGGGAUGCUCCCAUCCUCAAGAAAAAGGUCCCUUUCCCAGCCUGUCACCAGAGUGAG